AUGGAGAACAUCUCUUGCUCUCUCAGCUGCAAUAAUCUCAUUCCUGUUUGCAGGGGCUGCAGUGCCACAACCCAUCACAAUUGUGGAAAUGCUGAGAUCUGGAUAACAGCAUUUGGUAAACAAAAUGCUUACAUCAGGAAGAUGACAAUAAGACAGAGAGAUGUGAGGUUGGUAUUCUUUAGAAGAAAAAAAAAGAGCUUUGAAGUCUUAAGGCAUAAUAAGACCUGUUCUCAGUUUAAAUGAGUCAGGCUGUGACUUGAGUGUAAAAGAGCCUCCCAAGCCAAAGUGAAAAGGGCUGAACCAGGUGUUGAGUCAUCUCCUUGGGUAUCUACUUUCUUGUUCAUACCAUGCUGGACAGCUGAUAUUUAACGGCAAGUGCUCUGACAACAAAACUACACUACAAAUCUCCAUUCCUGAAAGACCUUUCCCUUGUGACCAGAAAACCAACAGCUGAGAAAUCUGCUCAUCUCCUCAAUAGAUCCUGUCUGUACGAUUGGCUUUACAGCAAAAAACAAAAAAAUCUAUUUAUUCAUCAAGGUUUAGUCUGGGAAAAUAUCUUAGUUCAGUAAAAAAUACUAAAAACCUAAAUCUUACUGGCCCCAAACAUUUGAAUGGUAAUGCAUGUUAUUUGAAAGAUGUUUAUGUAUUUAAGAUAAAAAAAAAAAAUACUUAUCAAGAAAAAUUUUUUGCAGUGCAUCUGAGUAUAUAUAUAUAUAUAUAUAUAAACACACACACACACACACACACACACAUACACAUAUAUAUAUACAUAGUACAGGUCAAAAGUUUGGAAACAUUACUAUUUUUAAUGUUUUUGAAAGAAGUCUAUUCUACUCAUCAAGCCUGCAUUUAUUUGAUCAAAAAUACAGAAAAAAUUUAAUAUUGUGAUAUAUUAUUACAAUUUAAAAUAAUUGUUUUUAAAUUUAUGAUACUUUAAAUUAUCAUUUAUUUCUGUGAUGCAAAGCUGAAUUUUUAGGAUCAUUAUCACAUGAUCCUUUAGAAAUCAUUCUAAUAUGAUUCAUUAUCAAAGUUGGAAAUAGUUCUGCUGCUUAAUAUUUUUUUCAGAACAUGUGAUACUUUUUUAGGAUACUUUGAUGAAUAAAAAGUAAAAAAAAAAAAAGAAUAUAUUUUUU
ensembl:lncRNA